rnacentral:rRNA from 1 species
CCUACGGGUGGCAGCAGUGAGGAAUAUUGGUCAAUGGACGAGAGUCUGAACCAGCCAAGUAGCGUGAAGGAUGACUGCCCUAUGGGUUGUAAACUUCUUUUAUAUGGGAAUAAAAUGUUCCACGUGUGGGAUUUUGUAUGUACCAUAUGAAUAAGGAUCGGCUAACUCCGUGCCAGCAGCCGCGGUAAUACGGAGGAUCCGAGCGCUAUCCGGAUUUAUUGGGUUUAAAGGGAGCGUAGGUGGAUUGUUAAGUCAGUUGUGAAAGUUUGCGGCUCAACCGUAAAAUUGCAGUUGAAACUGGCAGUCUUGAGUACAGUAGAGGUGGGCGGAAUUCGUGGUGUAGCGGUGAAAUGCUUAGAUAUCACGAAGAACUCCGAUUGCGAAGGCAGUUCACUGGACCGCAACUGACACUGAGGCUCGAAAGUGUGGGUAUCAAACAGGAUUAGAUACCCCAGUAGUC